UUAUAUCAAUAAGCUCAACCAUUAACAAACUGAUGAUUGGCUUUGGGACAUAAUUUCCAACACUCCCUUCUCUAGGUAAGUGACGAUCUUUCGACCUUCCUUAGCUUUUUCCAAUCUUUUCUUCCUAACUACUUUUUGCUAACCUAUUCUCUCUUCUUUUUUUUCUUCUUUUUUUUAACCUUGUCCACCACUUCGACUAUUUUUCAAAGAUGGUUUGUGAAGCACGAUGAAUUUCGAGGGAGG
rnacentral:lncRNA from 1 species